UUCGAAUCAAUCUAUCGCUACUUUGGAACGUUGAAAUGAACUAAAGAAAACGUUUGAAUCGCUUCCAGCGUGCCAGAACUCAUCACAUUCACCGUACAAGUGUCUUUCACCGAGCGAUACACGCCAGACUGCAGUACGUGGUCCAAAUUCUGGAGCUGGCUCACACGCAAGUGCAAGGAUAGAUAUAGGGUGUCAUAUCGUCCUGAGGUCAGACAGAAGGAGUUGACGCGAUACAGGAAGACUCGGCGAUGUUGCAGUGGCUGGAACUCCUCUACUAACUGUACAGAACCGCUCUGCAGCCCCACGUGCAUGCACGGCACCUGCGCAGAACCCUACACGUGCGUGUGUGACGCUGGAUGGACAGGGGGCAGCUGCGAAAGUCGAUGUCGGGGGGACCCACGGAGCGGGAU